CAGUAGCCGCGGUAAGACAGAGGAUGCAAGCGUUAUCCGGAAUGAUUGGGCGUAAAGCGUCUGUAGGUGGCUUUUCAAGUCCGCCGUCAAAUCCCAGGGCUCAACCCUGGACAGGCGGUGGAAACUACCAAGCUAGAGUACGGUAGGAGCAGAGGGAAUUUCCGGUGGAGCGGUGAAAUGCGUUGAGAUCGAAAAGAACACCAACGACGAAAGCACUCUGCUGGGUCGACACUGACACUGAGAGACGAAAGCUAGGGGAGCAAAUGGGAUUAGAUACCCGCGUAGUCCCUGUCUCUUAUAC
rnacentral:rRNA from 1 species